rnacentral:rRNA from 1 species
GGGUGCGACCAUACCAGCACUAAUGCACCGGAUCCCAUCAAAACUCCACAGUUAAGCGUGCUUGUGCAAGAGUAGUACUAGGAUGGGUGACUUCUUGGGAGGGCCUCGUGUUUCACCCC